UGGUCUGAUUAUGGCCUGUGAUUGGCUGAACGCUGGCGGGAUGCUUUACACAUGCAGCCUGAACGGCAGCACGGACUUCGGUCUGGUGACGAGCGGCGAACGGGUGAGUAAUGUAUCGGAACGUGCCCAGUAUGGGAGAAUUUUACGCCAGAAAGCGUAGCUAAUAUCGCGCAUACUGCCUCUUCGGGGGAAAGCGGGGACCUUUCGGGCCUCACUAUUAGAGCGGCCGAUAUCGGAUUAGCUAGUUGGUGGGGUAACGCUCACUACAGUGACGAUCCGUAGCUGGUUUGAGAGGACGACCAGCCACACUGGGACUGAGACACGCCUAGACUCGCAUGGGAGGCAGCAGUGGGAAUUUUGGACAAUGGGGGAAACCCCGAUCCAGCCAUCCCGCGUAGGUGAUGAAGGCCUUCGGGUUGUAAAGCACUUUUGGCAGGAAAGAAACGGCACGGGAUAAUACCCUGCAACCGACGUACCGCAGGCUUAAGCACCGCCAAUUUACGUGCCGUGCGUUGCGGCACACGUAGGCAAGCGUUAAUCGGAAUUACUGGGCGUAAAGCGUGCGCAGGCGGUUCGGAAAGAAAGAUGUGAAAUCCAGAGCUAACUUGAACGGUUUUUAACUACUGAGCCAGAGUGUGUCAGAGAGGUAGAAAUCUGCGUAGCAGUAAAAUGCGUAGAUAUGCGGAGGAACACCGAUGGCGAAGCGCAGCCUUCCCGGAUAACAUCAUCGUCAUGCACGAAAGCGUGGGGAGCAAACAGGAUUAGAUACCCUGGUAGUCCACGGGCCCCAAACGAUGUCAACUAGCCGUUAAAUUUUCGGGCCUUGGUAGCGCAGCUAUCUGCAGGAAGGGGGUUGACCGCCUGGGGGAGUACGGUCGCAAGAUUAAACCUGGAAGGAACAAGACGACCGCACAAGCGGUGGAUACAGAUGAUUAAUUCGAUGCAGUCUUCGCGAAAAACCUUACCUACCCUUGACAUGUCUGGAAUCCUGAAGAGAUUGGGAGUGUUCGCAAGAGAACCGGAACACAGGUGCUGUACGCCGUCACGUCAGCUUCCAGUCGCAGAUGCUGGUUAUGGUCCCAACGAGCGCAACCCUUUGCCAUUAGUUGCUGGCUGCGCAGACUGAUGAGAUUCGCCGGUGACAAACCGGAGGAAGGUGGGGACACGUCAAGUCCUCGCGGCCCGGCAGGGCUUCACACGUCACACGCCGUCGUGGAUUAGAGGUGUGGUCGCCAACCCGUGAGGGGGAGCCAAUCCCAGAAACCCGAUCGUAGUCCGGAUCGCAGUUCGCAACCUCGACUGCGUGAAGUCGGAAUCGCUGGUAAUCGCGGAUCAGCAUGUCGCGGUGAAUACGUUCCUGGCCCGGUACGACACCGCCCGUCACAAUCAGCGGGGAGUGGGUUUUACCGAAGUGGAAUAGCCUGAACUGUAAGGAGGAAGGUGAUUACCACGGUAGGAUUCACUGGGUAAGCCGUAACAGCAAAAUCAUGUUCGAUGCUCCCAGGAGUACACGCUGCAACUGA
rnacentral:rRNA from 1 species